rnacentral:rRNA from 1 species
AUUGAACGCUGGCGGCAGGCUUAACACAUGCAAGUCGAACGGUAACAUAAAGAAGCUUGCUUCUUUGAUGACGAGUGGCGGACGGGUGAGUAAUGCUUGGGAAUCUAGCUUAUGGAGGGGGAUAACUACGGGAAACUGUAGCUAAUACCGCGUAAUAUCGAGAGAUUAAAGUGUGGGACCUUCGGGCCACAUGCCAUAGGAUGAGCCCAAGUGGGAUUAGGUAGUUGGUGAGGUAAAGGCUCACCAAGCCGACGAUCUCUAGCUGGUCUGAGAGGAUGACCAGCCACACUGGGACUGAGACACGGCCCAGACUCCUACGGGAGGCAGCAGUGGGGAAUAUUGCGCAAUGGGGGCAACCCUGACGCAGCCAUGCCGCGUGAAUGAAGAAGGCCUUCGGGUUGUAAAGUUCUUUCGGUAGCGAGGAAGGCAUUUAGUUUAAUAGACU